AGUGAACGCUGGCGGUAGGCCUAACACAUGCAAGUCGAACGGCAGCACAGAGGAGCUUGCUCCUUGGGUGGCGAGUGGCGGACGGGUGAGGAAUACAUCGGAAUCUACUCUGUCGUGGGGGAUAACGUAGGGAAACUUACGCUAAUACCGCAUACGACCUACGGGUGAAAGCAGGGGAUCUUCGGACCUUGCGCGAUUGAAUGAGCCGAUGUCGGAUUAGCUAGUUGGCGGGGUAAAGGCCCACCAAGGCGACGAUCCGUAGCUGGUCGGGGAGGAUGAUCAGCCAGACUGGAACGGGGACACGGUCCAGACUCCUACGGGAGGCAGCAGUGGGGAAUAUUGGACAAUGGGCGCAAGCCUGAUCCAGCCAUACCGCGUGGGUGAAGAAGGCGUUCGGGUUGUAAAGCCCUUUCGUUGGGAAAGAAAUCCAUCUGGCUAAUACCCGGGUGGGAUGACGGUACCCAAAGAAUAAGCACCGGCUAACUUCGUGCCAGCCGCCGCGGUAA
rnacentral:rRNA from 1 species